GGCAGGCCUUGCUGUGGGAAUUGGCAUCGUGUCACUUGUGCCUCUGGCACUGGGUGUGGGACAUCCGGUGUGCCAGGCUGGGCAGACCCACGCAGGGCCAUUCCGGCCUCAGGGACACCCCUCUUUCCAGGGCUCAGGGUCCAGCCAGCACCUCCAAUUCUGCCCAGAGCCCAAGGCAAUAGGCUUCACUCGUCACGCUGCCCUGCUACCUGGCGUGAGUCAGCAGCCCUCUGCAGGCUAGUUUUCCUGUUGGACCAAUGACUCCGGGUGAGAGAGAAAAACUCUAUUCUAAAGAGGAGGAAACGGAGCCUCAGAAAGGUUCAGUGAUUGAUCUCGUUUGCACAGCAGUGAGGCACUAAAGCUGGCGUCGGAACCCAAGGUUCCACACUCAGCAUGGAGCCCAAUGCAGGGCUUGAACUCAUCACCCAAGAUCGAGACC